rnacentral:rRNA from 1 species
GACGAACGCUGGCGGCGUGCCUAAUACAUGCAAGUUGAGCGAUGAAGAUUGGUGCUUGCACCAAUUUGAAGAGCAGCGAACGGGUGAGUAACGCGUGGGGAAUCUGCCUUUGAGCGGGGGACAACAUUUGGAAACGAAUGCUAAUACCGCAUAACAACUUUAAACAUAAGUUUUAAGUUUGAAAUAUGCAAUUGCAUCACUCAAAGAUGAUCCCGCGUUGUAUUAGCUAGUUGGUGAGGUAAAGGCUCACCAAGGCGAUGAUACAUAGCCGACCUGAGAGGGUGAUCGGCCACAUUGGGACUGAGACACGGCCCAAACUCCUACGGGAGGCAGCAGUAGGGAAUCUUCGGCAAUGGACGAAAGUCUGACCGAGCAACGCCGCGUGAGUGAAGAAGGUUUUCGGAUCGUAAAACUCUGUUGGUAGAGAAGAACGUUGGUGAGAGUGGAAAGCUCAUCAAGUGACGGUAACUACCCAGAAAGGGACGGCUAACUACGUG